rnacentral:rRNA from 1 species
AUGGGGCGGUUCGGGCGGUAUGCGGCCGUGCUCGGCUCGACUCCGUCAAGAAUGUCUAUCGCGGUUCGACCAGGAGGAGGGCAUCGAGGUGGCGAGGAACCGGCUGCGCCUGCACAGCCCGCCAUGGUCGAUCGCCAUCACGCCGAGGUGCGCCGCCUUCGCUCCCUCCACCACGACCACAUCGUCGGCUUCCACAAGGUCUGGCUCGAUUGCGACGCCGGCAUGCUCAAGUUCAUCACCGAGGUCUGCAACUCAGGGAGCUUCCGCGAGUACCGCGACCGCCACAAGCACGUCUCCGUCAAGGCGCUCAAGAAGUGGGCGCGCCAGAUCCUCGAGGGCCUCCACAUCCACGACCUCUGCAUCAUCCACCGCGACCUUAAUUGCAGCAACGUCUUCUUCAACUGCAAGUCCGGCCAUGACGGUGUUGGCCUUGCGGUUGAAGUCCAACACCUAGACGACAUAAAAAGAAAAGGUAAUAAGUACGUGCUGUGCUAA